AGCUGAGUAUGAGAAUGUUGGUAACAGAGGAGAAGUUAUACUAGGGAAAAUAUUAAAUCAUGAUGUUCACCAGAGUGAUUAUAAUCAGGAAGCUUCCAGAAACUACAGGUGAAUGAAUCUGCCCAUCAGAGAACCUAGGCCAGAAAAGAUGUCAUUUUCUCCGAAAUGUAAAUGGAAAUGAUAACACAAGGAAGUCAGCAUCGUGCUCCAGUCUUCUGGAGGACACUUACAGGAUGCAGCAAGAAGGUUCUCAUCAGACACCAGAUGUCAGUGACUUAAUCUUGGACUUCCAAGUCUUCAAAACGACUGUCUGGUAUUCAGCGGGGGCUCAGUCAAUGUGA
rnacentral:lncRNA from 1 species